rnacentral:rRNA from 1 species
UACGUAGGGUCGAGACGUUAAUCGGAAUUACUGGGCGUAAAGCGUGCGCAGGCGGUUUUGUAAGUCUGUCGUGAAAUCCCCGGGCUCAACCUGGGAAUUGCGAUGGAGACUGCAAGGCUAGAAUCUGGCAGAGGGGGGUAGAAUUCCACGUGUAGCAGUGAAAUGCGUAGAGAUGUGGAGGAAUACCGAUGGCGAAGGCAGCCUCCUGGGCCAACACUGACGCUCAUGCACGAAAGCGUGGGGAGCAAACAGG